UACGAAGGGGGCUAGCGUUGCUCGGAAUUACUGGGCGUAAAGGGCGCGUAGGCGGAUAGUUUAGUCAGAGGUGAAAGCCCAGGGCUCAACCUUGGAAUUGCCUUUGAUACUGGCUAUCUUGAGUUCGGGAGAGGUGAGUGGAAUGCCGAGUGUAGAGGUGAAAUUCGUAGAUAUUCGGAAGAACACCAGUGGCGAAGGCGGCUCACUGGACCGGCAUUGACGCUGAGGUGCGAAAGCGUGGGGAGCAAACAGG
rnacentral:rRNA from 1 species